ACGGUGAUUCACGGUGAGGUCGGUCGGGUACCUUGGGAUUAAAAGGAGGAGGUAUCGGGUUCUAGACCUCUUCUGGGGGGCAUAGGUAGACUGCACUGCAGACAUUGGGUAUAUUGGGGGAAAAUAAAUGGCUCUGUGUGGGGUUAGUGUUUAACAGAGGUGAAAAGGCAGGAGCUCACUAGGGUCCAGCUGCAGCCCCGGAGAAACCCUGGAUACCAAAGAUGAACCAUGGAAGCACGGCAGAAGGUUCCCACACUUCAUGGAGGAGGCCAAACAAAUGGUGGCUGGACUACUUCUACCAGUCUUCAGACUGAAGCGAAAAAGAGAAUGAGUUGGAGCUGAUGGCAGUCAGCAUGAAGAAGCUAUAUCUUUAAGCUUCUGUCGAUUAUUUGUUAAAUAAAUUGUGAGGAAACUUUGGUGUGGUUAUUCUUCAAUGUAUAUUUAUAUCAAAUUAUGAUGGUAUACUUUACAAAAAAAAUAAUUUGAUUCAAUUAGACGGUUCCUAACGUAUCGAAAUAUAUUUUUUAUUUCUAUGUUAU